AAGUGAAAACAACAGAAGUUCCGCAGGACUGGCACAGCCUCCCCAUGCAAACCAUCCAUUGCCACGCAAGAGCGAUGCCAGAGGCGCCAUCACGACACCGAUCCUCAGGAUAAGGAUCUUCCAUCCCCGUGUGUCCCGCACCCACAUUGUCACCCUUGCAGCACCUUGGCCGUGUAAUAAGUGAUGGUCAAAAUUUUUAAUGUUGAACAAAUCGAGUGGGAUUCAAUUGUAUUAUGCAUAUUAUUGUAAGCAGUAACUGUGCUUGUGCGAGUUUGAUUAUGUUUUGUAGAACCUUGUAGUAGUAGUUAAAGACAAUGCCAUAAAUAACAGGACUACCAGGUGGUGCCAUAAAUAACAGGACUACCGGAUGGUGUCAUAGAUAACAGGACUCCCGGAUGGUGCCACAGAUAAUAGGACUCCCAGAUGGUGUUACAGAUAACAAAGCGCUCGGAUGUUGCAACAGAUAACUAAAGUUCCAGAGGCGGAAAUUCCCAGCACGUAAACGAACGCAUAACGUAUAUAAGCACAUACGAAAGGUUGAUUUGGUGUGCCUGUUGGUGGAACUGAGCUUCCCCCGGUCACCCAGCGCUGUUUUGCCUAAUUACCGCUUGCUAAAUAAAAUCGAUUGAUUGACGCAGAAUCGAUUUAUUGGCUCUUAUUUAUAACAAAUUUUGGUGCCGUGACUCGGAUUAAGGAUCUCUGGGAGGGACUCUUAAACUUCAGGGAGGCGCCCCGUCCCGUUUUCAGACGGCCCUGGAGUGGACAGAGGAUUGCCCUGAAACCUUAACCUCCGAACCCUAAAUUUAGGUAAUUAGGCAAAAGAAUUGAACCCCUUAAACCUUUGUGCACGAAGAACCGGACGAAGACCCCAGGGAGGGUAAGUAUAGAAAGCGAUUCCGUUCGGUUGGGGUGGGUAUCCUGGAGUGUGCAUGAACGAGACGCCCCCCCCCGGCUUGGGGAGGAAGCGAAGUGAGUGUGGACCCUGCCAUAAGGCAGGGCGGGACUCUCUAGUAGUGCGGUUCUCAUAGCCCGUGAGGGCGUGAGCCACGAACGAGGGGUGCGUGUGUGUGUGUGAAAAGAAGACACUCCGGAAGAUGGGACAGAAGAAGGGCAAGCCUUCUGAUCUCAUGGGGAAGGGACCCACAGAGAGGUUGCCAGAUAUUCCCCGAGAAUCCUCAUUGGGCCUUGUGUUCACUGGGAAGGGACCCAGGGAGAGGUCUAGCACGCGAAACAAAAAUAGGGAAAAGAUGGUUUACUAUUGCAUGCAUGGCUGGGGAAACCAGCAGAUUAGACCAGAUCAUUUAUUUUGGCCAAUUUUUGGGUCAUAUGAGAAUUGGAUUUGUCAGGCCCUAAAUCUUUACCAACGGCACCAACAAGGGCCGGGUGCUGACAUUAAGUGGCCCCAGCAGCGCCCUAACUGGGAUAAUCAAAACCCGGAACACAGGGGCCAUAUGGGAGAUCUCCGCACUAUAAUCGUCCAAGGGAUUAAGGAAUCUGUCCCUCAAGGGCAGAACAUAAAUAAAGCCUUUAAAGAACAACAAAAGAAAGAUGAGACUCCCACAGAAUGGCUAGAAAGACUAAGAAAGAGCUUGCAGCUUUAUUACGGUAUAGACCCUAUGACACCGGUCGGGCAAGCUCUUUUAAAAACACAGUUUGUGGCGAAGUCAUGGCCGGAUAUUAAAAAAAAAAAAAAAAAAAAAAGUUAGAAAAAUUGGAAAAUUGGCAAGAGAAAGGGUUGGAUGAGUUGCUAAGGGAAGCACAGAAGGUUUAUGUGAGAAGGGAGGAAGAGACUCAGAAGAGGCAAGCUAAAAUUUUAGUAGCGGCAGUUCGAGAGGUACAGAGGAUGGCUCCACAGAAGGGAGGGCCACCACGCAUAGGUGGGAAUGGGCCACCUCAGGGAAGUCAAGUCGGACUGAAGGAUUUGAAGGAAAUCGAAUAUUUUUACUGUCAGAGGAAGGGACAUAUGCGAAGGAGCUGUAGGAAACUUAUACAGGAUGAGAAAAUGUAUUAUGCUGAGUAGGGGUGUCAGGGGCUCUAUCUGCUGGGGACUCCUAAAACAACAGAGCCCUUGAUAAAAUUAAAGUUAGGUCCCCAGUGCCAGGAAAUGGAAUUCCUGGUAGAUUCGGGGGCAGAAAGAUCUAUUGUCCAAACUGUGCCCCGGGGAUGUGCUCCAUCUUCGGAGAAAAUAGAAGUAAUAGGAGCAAAAGGAGACCCCUUUUCUGUACUAGUAAUUAAAGGGGUAGAAAUAGAAUCCCCAUCCCGAAUAGGGAUAGGGUCCCUUUUAUUAGUGCCUGAAGCUGAAUAUAACCUAUUAGGAAGGGAUUUAAUGGUCGAAUUGGGAAUUAGUUUAGAAAUAAAAGAUCGGGAAUUGAAAGUAAAACUAUACCAAGGUAAGAGAGGAUUUAGAAGAAGAAGAGGAGUUUUUAUGUGGAUCAUCACGGGUAGUGGAUGGGAAAAGGAAGUCAGGAUACGCUAUAAUAGAUGGAAACAGCUGGACAACUAAGGAGUCAGGUCCCCUUAACUCAGGAUGGUCAGCGCAGGCUUGUGAGCUGUUCGCAGUAUUGAGGGUAUUACAGUUGUUAAAAGAUAAGAGAGGAACAAUAUUUACAGAUUCUAAAUAUGCAUAUGGGGUGGUUCACACGUUCGGAAAAAUUUGGGAAGAGAGGGGACUGAUGAAUUCUCAGGGUAAAGGAUUAAUACAUGAGACCUUAAUAACGCAAACUUUGGAGGCAUUAAGAGGGCCCAAACAAAUUGCGGUAGUUUAUGUAAAGGGCCAUCGGAAGGGAACCUCCACGCAAAUAAGAGGGAAUAAUUUAGCAGAUGAGGAAGCUAAGAAAGCUGCAUUGCUGGUAAUAAAAGAAAUGGGCAGCUGGAAUCAGCAGUUUCCAAAAAGUGUUAGAAUGGAAGAAUCCUUUUUGCACUCUUUUCUUAAUAUUAAGGACAUUCUUAAAACUAGUUAACAUGUCAGUGUAUUAGUUUUUAAACUUCAAGGUAUUUUCGGGAGCUUUUACUUAAUAAGAAUAAAACUUUGUUAUUGUGCAAUAUUUGUUCAUUAGUUUAAAAAUUGUCACCUUUAAGAGUUGGUCCCAUAUAAAUGUAUCUUCUGUCAGGGAGUUUUAAAUACCAGAUUUCUUUUUUGUUACUUUGUAUUUUGAAAUCUGUUUUCCUAUGUGCUUGUACUCUGUGCCUUCAGCUUGUGCACUUUGCAACUUUAUAGACCAUAUUUUGUUACUGCAAAAUGUGUUCUUGAGGCAAAACUUGACGUGAACAAACAUGCUGCAAAGUUGCACUUUUCUCUUGCUUUAAUGGGAGGUGAAUCUGAAAAAAAGUCGAACCUAUCACCGUCCCUAAUCGUGACUUGGAAGUUUGCCCCCUUUUAUUUUACAUGUGUUUUAGUGUUCAGUGUGGGGACCAACUCUCAUAGAACCCCUUUCAUUGACUUUUCAGUAGCUUCCAUAAUCGCAAUAUAUUGAGGUGUGAAUUCCAGACUGAAUAAGAUACUAAGAUGUGUUUGAUGCUGUGCUAUGCAGAAAUAUUUGGGGCAAAUUCUUGGGUUUUGUAGGUCUGCAAAGUGCAUCUCUGGCAGCACGAACCAGACUUGCAGUUGGUUGAUCAGUGAACAGUGGCACCUGUCCAAGGUCACUUUGUGGCUCCUGUGCCGUUUCUCCUGUCCAGGGGACCGAGCAGAGUGGGGGGGGAGGUGUUGUCCCUGCCACAUAUGUUCUUUGUUUUUUUUUUUCUUCCUGCGUUGUGUGGUGAAGUCCCGCGGGCCCUUUUGUGCUUGUGUGGCUUCGUAAGAACUGUUAAAGCCAGGUCUGGUGGUCUAGAGACCACCUUUAGAUAUAGCAAUACAUCGUAUCAAACCAGGAAAUCAAGUACUCAUAAAAACAUGGAGGGAAUCAUCGCUAACCCGUCCUGGGAGGGACCUUUCCUUGUUUUACUCACCACAGAUAUCACAGUCUGCACCGCGGAAAGAGGAUGGACACACGCUAAUCGAGUAAAAGGUCCUAUACUGCACACAGACUGGGAAGUCACUGGGAAACUGGAUGAGUUGAAGCUGACCUUCAAGAGGAAACAGACACGUGACGCAUAGCCCUGGAUACUAGGCUUUUUAUGGACAAUUGUAAGGAAUUACAUAAGUCGCACAUCGCAUGUCCUGUAUGUAAGCAAUGCAAUCCGUGGGUAUGUCGUGUGUGUCACGGGUGCGGGAUACAGCAGUGAAAAAAAAGUUUCCUUAUGUUGAACGAUGGUGUAAUGAGUGUUGGGAAAAAAAACCUUAGAUACCAUUAGGAUAUUAAUAAUCACUGAUAAGUCCAGACAUUUGGGAAAUAACCAAGAGGAAGUGUAAGAAGCGUUUUGGUAAGAAAAGAUACAGGAAGUGUUCCAAACCCUGUAAGGAUUCGGGACAGUGGCCAAACCCUUGUAUUUGAAAAUAGCCCUAUUGGGUUCAAUAUUGGAAAGUGGGUUGUGACAGAACAAGGAGAGAAUUCAGGAGGCAGUCCCCUGAAGACUACAACUGCUGCCGAGAAGAUAACUUAUCCGGCUACUCUGAAGCAACAGAGUAGGCCCAGGGCAAGGCAGAGGGGUAUCCUUGUGGGGAUUGGCAAGUGCCUCCAAAGACUUCUAAAAUAAAGCAGCUCCUUAAGCAGAACAACCCUCAACAAAAUGAACCUCCACUGGCUGAUUUUCAGCCAGCCAGGGGCCGGGUUGCUCUCCCUAAUCCUCCUUACCUUACCGGUAAUAAUAGCAAUAAAGCAGGGGAGUUCUCACCAACCUUUUAAAUGGACCCUCUAUCGAUGGGAGGACCAAACGAUAAUACAACAACAGACCACAUCAGGGUCACCUUCUUUUACUGUAACCUUAUGCCAAUUAGUUCAGAUUGAGCCAUACCUUAACAAAAUGGGGUUUUAUAUGUGCCCCAGCACAGGGCCCUCGUAUUGUAAUACUCCAGGACACUAUUACUGCUCUUACUGGGGGUGUGAAAUGAUUGCCUCAAGCUGGCCAAUUCCUCCGGCAAAUACUGAUAAGUUCUUAAAGGUUGGAUGGGGACCUGUAGGAUGCAUUCCUCCUUCGAACCAAGGCCGCCGACUAAAACUCGGUUAUCCUCGCAACCGAAACGAGCGGGACAGUGAUGGACUACCAGGUGGUGCCAUAAAUAACAGGACUACCGGAUGGUGUCAUAGAUAACAGGACUCCCGGAUGGUGCCACAGAUAAUAGGACUCCCAGAUGGUGUUACAGAUAACAAAGCGCUCGGAUGUUGCAACAGAUAACUAAAGUUCCAGAGGCGGAAAUUCCCAGCACGUAAACGAACGCAUAACGUAUAUAAGCACAUACGAAAGGUUGAUUUGGUGUGCCUGUUGGUGGAACUGAGCUUCCCCCGGUCACCCAGCGCUGUUUUGCCUAAUUACCGCUUGCUAAAUAAAAUCGAUUGAUUGACGCAGAA